ACUCCUACGGGGGGCAGCAGUGAGGAAUAUUGGUCAAUGGGAGAGAUCCUGAACCAGCCAAGUAGCGUGAGGGAAGACUGCCCUAUGGGUUGUAAACCUCUUUUAUGCGGGGAUAAAGGUGUCCACGUGUGGAUGUUUGCAGGUACCGCACGAAUAAGGACCGGCUAAUUCCGUGCCAGCAGCCGCGGUAAUACGGAAGGUCCGGGCGUUAUCCGGAUUUAUUGGGUUUAAAGGGAGCGUAGGCCGGUCUUUAAGCGUGCCGUGAAAUUUUGUGGCUCAACCAUGAGAGUGCGGCGCGAACUGGG
rnacentral:rRNA from 1 species